rnacentral:rRNA from 1 species
AUUGAACGCUGGCGGCAUGCUUUACACAUGCAAGUCGAACGGCAGCGCGGGCUUCGGCCUGGCGGCGAGUGGCGAACGGGUGAGUAAUGCAUCGGAACGUGCCCAGUAGUGGGGGAUAGCCCGGCGAAAGCCGGAUUAAUACCGCAUACGACCUGAGGGUGAAAGCGGGGGACCGAAAGGCCUCGCGCUAUUGGAGCGGCCGAGGCCGGAUUAGCUAGUUGGUGGGGUAAAGGCUUCCCAAGGCGACGAUCCGUAGCUGGUCUGAGAGGACGACCAGCCACACUGGGACUGAGACACGGCCCAGACUCCUACGGGAGGCAGCAGUGGGGAAUGUUGGACAAUGGGGGCAACCCUGAUCCAGCGAUGCGGCGUGCGGGAAGAAGGCCUUCGGGUUGUAAACAGCUUUUGUGCGGGAAGAAAUCCUCUGGGCUAAUACCCCGGGGGGAUGACGGUACCGGAAGAAUAAGCACCGGCUAACUACGUG